ACAAAAGAACUUCUUAAAGGUACAGUUGCA
rnacentral:piRNA from 1 species